rnacentral:piRNA from 1 species
UGGAAGCCGAUAUCGUAGAUUUGCCC